UACGGAGGGAGCUAGCGUUGUUCGGAAUCACUGGGCGUAAAGCGUGCGUAGGCGGUGACUCAAGUCAGAGGUGAAAGCCUGGAGCUCAACUCCAGAACUGCCUUUGAAACUAGGUCGCUAGAAUGUCGGAGAGGUGAGUGGAAUUCCGAGUGUAGAGGUGAAAUUCGUAGAUAUUCGGAAGAACACCAGUGGCGAAGGCGGCUCACUGGACGACUAUUGACGCUGAGGCACGAAAGCGUGGGGAGCAAACAGGAUUAGAUACCCUGGUAGUCCACGCCGUAAACGAUGAUAACUAGCUGCCGGGGUUCAUGGAAUUUCGGUGGCGCAGCUAACGCAUUAAGUUAUCCGCCUGGGGAGUACGGUCGCAAGAUUAAA
rnacentral:rRNA from 1 species